GACGAACGCUGGCGGCGUGCUUAACACAUGCAAGUCGAACGGAAAGGCCCAGCUUGCUGGGUGCUCGAGUGGCGAACGGGUGAGUAACACGUGGGUGAUCUGCCCCUAACUUCGGGAUAAGCUUGGGAAACUGGGUCUAAUACCGGAUAGGACAAUCGUUUAGUGUCGGUUGUGGAAAGUUUUUUCGGUUAGGGAUGAGCCCGCGGCCUAUCAGCUUGUUGGUGGGGUAAUGGCCUACCAAGGCGUCGACGGGUAGCCGGCCUGAGAGGGUGGACGGCCACAUUGGGACUGAGAUACGGCCCAGACUCCUACGGGAGGCAGCAGUGGGGAAUAUUGCACAAUGGGCGCAAGCCUGAUGCAGCGACGCCGCGUGGGGGAUGACGGCCUUCGGGUUGUAAACCUCUUUCGACAGGGACGAAGCUUUGGUGGCGGUACCUGUAUAAGAAGCACCGGCUAACUACGUG
rnacentral:rRNA from 1 species